rnacentral:sRNA from 1 species
AUCUUUGUUAAUUCAGUCUUUCAUUAAAACUGACGCUCAUUUUGUUCAGAACAAACCGGGAUUGAUAGUUUUUCGGAUUACAUCACACGGAUUGGAAUCCUACACGUGUAAACAAACAAGAUGUUACAUUCGCAUGCAACUUUCUUACCUAUCUUUCUGCUCUGCGGCCCUGUCUCUCUGUCUCCUGUUUUUGAACCAGUUGCUGACCUGUGUUGUAGUUAGACCCGUUGCUUCAGCCAACUCCCUCUUCUCUCUCGGAGAAGGGUAAGGGUUGUGUUGAUACCACUCCCGUAAAAUAGUUCUGGAUUUCUCUUUGAAACAGUAACUUGUUUCCUCUCCAUCCCAUAUGGUUCUAGGGAGGGGGAACUUCCUACGAACACGGUAUUUUCCCACGGCUCCUAAAGGUCGCCCUCGGAGUUUUUCAGCCUCAAUGUAAUGCGCCUUGAGCCACAAUGCUUGCAGUUUUGGGUGAUUAUGAGGCGAGAAGUUAUUGCUUUCUAACAUUUUAUAGAGUUCCUUGAAAUUUCCGCGGUGAAAUGCCACAACAGCUUUCGCUUUAAGCACACUUUCAUUUUUAUGAAGAUGUUCACAGGCAGGAAGUGACCACAGGAACCGGGCUAGUCUGUCUAUGUUCCCUCCUUGCUGAAGAACCUCACAGACGCACGCUACUUGUUCUUGUGUAAAUCCAAAGGACGGAAGCAUGGCGGGGUUUGGGGAACCCACACUGGAUGUGGGGGUCUGUUCGUGCAACAUUGGCACAGACUCAGUGAAGUGGCCGAGAUGGGUGCCGUUGCCGUGUCCGGCUCUUCCACUAAAAACUAAAAGAAAACAAAAAAAGUCAACAAAGUUUUCCUACACACUUGUGUUAUGAUAUAUAAUCUGUUGCCGUCUUCAAUUCUGUGUUAUUUAGAUAGAGGUGCAGUAAUGGUUCACUACUUUCAGAUGAUUGGCUGUUUCUGGCGACCCCAGAAGAUAUCGCUUAUUCUCUCAGUGCCGUGAGAAAUUAGUAACCACAGCAACGACGUCAAUCAAGUAACUAUAUACCUAAGUGGGCGGGUUGCACGAUUUUUCGGAACAGAUAAUAAAAUAACGGGUGGCUCGUUCGGCAUCUGAGAUGAAGAUAAUUCAAAGAAGGGGGUAUACAUGUGUAAGAAUCUGGGGACGUUCGUCACCCAGCGGGAAAAAGUCGGAUUAAUUACACAGGCGUGUCAGCCCACAGUGACAGGAAUUAACGAAUCAUCUCUCGCACUGCGCUUCCCAGGGGGGCCCCGCGCCCUAGCGCUGGAGGCAGCAAACAAACAGAUGGGUAGAUCUAUGUCAUAUGGGAUUCUAAUACACAGGUCGCGGGCUAUUCAAUGAUCUGAAAUCAAAGAGCUCUCUUUUGGGGAAAUGAGAAUGCUAAAAGAAAUGAAAAAUUAAUAAACAGGACAAAUUCGCAGGUAAUUCUAUACCAUUGAAAUCAUCCUUUAUCGGAGGAAUCGUGAAGUCCGCGAGUGCAGACUGUCUCCGGCGAGAAAAUCGUGCUGAUUGGUCCAGACUAUCAAGGAUGCAUGCGUCUUUAUCUAUUCUACCCAUCGUGUUAAUUUGGGGAGAGGGGGUGUACAAUGGCCCCAUGGAAGGGACGGAGAGUAAAAUAUUCAUGAUCAGAGAGUGCACAGCUUGGAGAAAAAUUCUGUAUUGAACUAUAGAUAUUGUUCCUUUGAUUUUGAGAUGUGGGUGUUGCUUAAGACAGCUUGUUUAAGAAAAGUCUUAGUCAAUAAUGCAACUACUCAAAUUGCUCUUAAUUACGUAAGUAAAUUAAGUUACUUCCCUUUGGCCGUUACAUUACACAGGCAUUAUCUCAUGUGUGUUUGUGUGUUAAUAUUCUACUCCUGAGCUCUCAAAAUUUUAAAAUUUUCUGUAUUGGCUUUUAAAGAGAAGCAAACACCGUAAGAUCUGUCAAGAAACAAAAGAAUUGGCGAAUCAUUCACCCCGAGACUUCCCCAAGUGAUGAUACAUCGCUCAUCCAAUAUUUGUUCAACCUCUUCAUCAUAAUGUGAUUUCGCACGAGAAUUCGGUAUCAUUCAUGUUAAUUUGUUGCUAUCAAUCCUAACAAUAUGAAAUUGCGACAAUCACAGUAUUUUUUUUCUUAAUGGACCAUAUUGAACUAAAAUACUUGUUUAUGCUGAACCCUUUUGGAAUAUUUUUUAAGCUUGGGUUUAAGGAAGCUGGGUGGUCACCAAAUUAAUCAUCAGAUCCUCCUUAAAUUUUAGAUGCGAUUUGUUAAGCUAUAAGCUAUCAUCUCAUGGAGAAAAAAUCUAAAUAUUUUUGCUUUGAAAUAUGAAUAUUUUGCUAUAUUCUUAUACAGAACUCUUCCUCUCGGGGAGAUGAAAACAGUCUAAAAAUGGACACGACCAUCCCACCCUCUUAAUACAUAUAAACAUUUUUUAUUUGUUAAUCUUUCGAUAAAUAAUAGUUAUACUGCUGUAUUUUCACAAAACAAAAGUUUUUGAAUGGAUAAUAUUUAUGUAAAAAAAAAUAAUCACAAUAAGGGAAAAAUAAUAAGUAAUUAAAUAAUAAAUUUAUAAAAUAACAUUAUUUGAAAAAAAAUAUAACAACAAUACAGAUUAACACUGCAUUAGUCCAGACUAAUUUUAUUUUGUCCAUACUUUAUAGACGGUGUAAAAAAUGGUUUGGUACAAUGAUAAAAACGUGUGAGAAUGUAAUGGUCUUAUUAUUGAAUAUUCUGCGAUCAAAAGAGAUAUUGAUUGAAUAGUCAACUAUGCACAUCAAAAUAUAAUUAAUGCACAAAUGAAAUCAAUGCACAAUUAAAACUUUUUAAAAUAUAAUAAAAUCAGGUUUUUUUGC